UACCCGCAGCACAAGUGGUGGUCAUUAUUAUUGGGCCUAAAGCGUCCGUAGCUGGUUUGUUAAAUGCCUGGGUAAAUCGAUGCGCUUAACGUAUCGAACUCCGGGUAGACUGGCAAACUCGAGACCGGGAGAGGUGUAGGCUACUCGCGGGGUAGGGGUAAAAUCCUGUAAUCCUGCGGGGAGGACCAGUGGCGAAGGCGCUACACUAGAACGGCUCUGACAGUGAGGGACGAAGCCCUGGGGCGCAAACCGG
rnacentral:rRNA from 1 species